GACGAACGCUGGCGGCGUGCCUAAUACAUGCAAGUCGAACGAACUCUGGUAUUGAUUGGUGCUUGCAUCAUGAUUUACAUUUGAGUGAGUGGCGAACUGGUGAGUAACACGUGGGAAACCUGCCCAGAAGCGGGGGAUAACACCUGGAAACAGAUGCUAAUACCGCAUAACAACUUGGACCGCAUGGUCCGAGCUUGAAAGAUGGCUUCGGCUAUCACUUUUGGAUGGUCCCGCGGCGUAUUAGCUAGAUGGUGGGGUAACGGCUCACCAUGGCAAUGAUACGUAGCCGACCUGAGAGGGUAAUCGGCCACAUUGGGACUGAGACACGGCCCAAACUCCUACGGGAGGCAGCAGUAGGGAAUCUUCCACAAUGGACGAAAGUCUGAUGGAGCAACGCCGCGUGAGUGAAGAAGGGUUUCGGCUCGUAAAACUCUGUUGUUAAAGAAGAACAUAUCUGAGAGUAACUGUUCAGGUAUUGACGGUAUUUAACCAGAAAGCCACGGCUAACUACGUGCCAGCAGCCGCGGUAAUACGUAGGUGGCAAGCGUUGUCCGGAUUUAUUGGGCGUAAAGCGAGCGCAGGCGGUUUUUUAAGUCUGAUGUGAAAGCCUUCGGCUCAACCGAAGAAGUGCAUCGGAAACUGGGAAACUUGAGUGCAGAAGAGGACAGUGGAACUCCAUGUGUAGCGGUGAAAUGCGUAGAUAUAUGGAAGAACACCAGUGGCGAAGGCGGCUGUCUGGUCUGUAACUGACGCUGAGGCUCGAAAGUAUGGGUAGCAAACAGGAUUAGAUACCCUGGUAGUCCAUACCGUAAACGAUGAAUGCUAAGUGUUGGAGGGUUUCCGCCCUUCAGUGCUGCAGCUAACGCAUUAAGCAUUCCGCCUGGGGAGUACGGCCGCAAGGCUGAAACUCAAAGGAAUUGACGGGGGCCCGCACAAGCGGUGGAGCAUGUGGUUUAAUUCGAAGCUACGCGAAGAACCUUACCAGGUCUUGACAUACUAUGCAAAUCUAAGAGAUUAGACGUUCCCUUCGGGGACAUGGAUACAGGUGGUGCAUGGUUGUCGUCAGCUCGUGUCGUGAGAUGUUGGGUUAAGUCCCGCAACGAGCGCAACCCUUAUUAUCAGUUGCCAGCAUUAAGUUGGGCACUCUGGUGGGACUGCCGGUGACAAACCGGAGGAAGGUGGGGAUGACGUCAAAUCAUCAUGCCCCUUAUGACCUGGGCUACACACGUGCUACAAUGGAUGGUACAACGAGUUGCGAACUCGCGAGAGUAAGCUAAUCUCUUAAAGCCAUUCUCAGUUCGGAUUGUAGGCUGCAACUCGCCUACAUGAAGUCGGAAUCGCUAGUAAUCGCGGAUCAGCAUGCCGCGGUGAAUACGUUCCCGGGCCUUGUACACACCGCCCGUCACACCAUGAGAGUUUGUAACACCCAAAGUCGGUGGGGUAACCUUUUAGGAACCAGCCGCCUAAGGUGGGACAGAUGAUUAGGGUG
rnacentral:rRNA from 1 species